rnacentral:rRNA from 1 species
UGCAGUCGAGCGGAUGAGAAGAAGCUUGCUCCUUUCGAUUCAGCGGCGGACGGGUGAGUAAUGCCUAGGAAUCUGCCUGGUAGUGGGGGACAACGUUUCGAAAGGAACGCUAAUACCGCAUACGUCCUACGGGAGAAAGCAGGGGACCUUCGGGCCUUGCGCUAUCAGAUGAGCCUAGGUCGGAUUAGCUAGUUGGUGAGGUAAUGGCUCACCAAGGCGACGAUCCGUAACUGGUCUGAGAGGAUGAUCAGUCACACUGGAACUGAGACACGGUCCAGACUCCUACGGGAGGCAGCAGUGGGGAAUAUUGGACAAUGGGCGAAAGCCUGAUCCAGCCAUGCCGCGUGUGUGAAGAAGGUCUUCGGAUUGUAAAGCACUUUAAGUUGGGAGGAAGGGCAUUAACCUAAUACGUUAGUGUUUUGACGUUACCGACAGAAUAAGCACCGGCUAACUCUGUGCCAGCAGCCGCGGUAAUACAGAGGGUGCAAGCGUUAAUCGGAAUUACUGGGCGUAAAGCGCGCGUAGGUGGUUUGUUAAGUUGGAUGUGAAAGCCCCGGGCUCAACCUGGGAACUGCAUCCAAAACUGGCAAGCUAGAGUACGGUAGAGGGUGGUGGAAUUUCCUGUGUAGCGGUGAAAUGCGUAGAUAUAGGAAGGAACACCAGUGGCGAAGGCGACCACCUGGACUGAUACUGACACUGAGG